rnacentral:misc_RNA from 1 species
UCCGGUUUAACACCGGCAGUCCCCUUAGAGUCCCCAACUUAAUGGUGGUAACUAAGAGCAAGGGUUGCGCUCGUUGCGGGACUUAACCCAACAUCUUACGACACGAGCUGACGACAGCCAUGCAGCAUCUGUCUUGAGGUCUCCGAAGAGAAGACUGUAUUUCUACAGCUGUCCUCAGAUGUCAAGCCUAGGUAAGGUUCUGCGCGUUGCUUCGAAUUAAACCACAUACUCCACCGCUUGUGCGGGCCCCCGUCAAUUCCUUUGAGUUUUAAUCUUGCGACCGUACUUCCCAGGCGGGAUACUUAAUGCGUUAGCUUCGGUACUUAAGGAAUAAAAACCUCAAACACCAAGUAUCCAUCGUUUAUGGCAUGGACUAC